CAAGUCGAACGAGCGAGAGAGAGCUUGCUUUCUCGAGCGAGUGGCGAACGGGUGAGUAACGCGUGAGGAACCUGCCUCAAAGAGGGGGACAACAGUUGGAAACGACUGCUAAUACCGCAUAAGCCCACGGGUCGGCAUCGACCAGAGGGAAAAGGAGCAAUCCGCUUUGAGAUGGCCUCGCGUCCGAUUAGCUAGUUGGUGAGGUAAUGGCCCACCAAGGCAACGAUCGGUAGCCGGACUGAGAGGUUGAACGGCCACAUUGGGACUGAGACACGGCCCAGACUCCUACGGGAGGCAGCAGUGGGGAAUAUUGCACAAUGGGGGAAACCCUGAUGCAGCGACGCCGCGUGGAGGAAGAAGGUCUUCGGAUUGUAAACUCCUGUUGUUGGGGAAGAUAAUGACGGUACCCAACAAGGAAGUGACGGCUAACUACGUGCCAGCAGCCGCGGUAAAACGUAGGUCACAAGCGUUGUCCGGAAUUACUGGGUGUAAAGGGAGCGCAGGCGGGAAGACAAGUUGGAAGUGAAAUCUAUGGGCUCAACCCAUAAACUGCUUUCAAAACUGUUUUUCUUGAGUAGUGCAGAGGUAGGCGGAAUUCCCGGUGUAGCGGUGGAAUGCGUAGAUAUCGGGAGGAACACCAGUGGCGAAGGCGGCCUACUGGGCACCAACUGACGCUGAGGCUCGAAAGUGUGGGUAGCAAACAGGAUUAGAUACCCUGGUAGUCCACACCGUAAACGAUGAUUACUAGGUGUUGGAGGAUUGACCCCUUCAGUGCCGCAGUUAACACAAUAAGUAAUCCACCUGGGGAGUAC
rnacentral:rRNA from 1 species